rnacentral:misc_RNA from 1 species
AGAGGAAGCCUAUAACCCUUGUUCUUGAUUUGGAUGAGACUCUUGUCCAUUCUAGCUUGGAACACUGCCUCGAUGCUGACUUUACCUUUCAACUUUCCUUCGACAUGAAACAACAUACUGUUUAUGUUCGACGGAGGCCUUACCUACAGAUGUUCCUUGAGAGGGUAGCAGAAUUGUUCGAAGUCGUCAUUUUCACUGCUAGCCAAAGCAUAUAUGCUGAACAGUUGCUGGAUAUAUUGGAUCCUGAGAGAAAUUUAAUAUCUCAACG